rnacentral:lncRNA from 1 species
AAUAAGAAUUGGAAAGGAAAUGUAACCAGGAAAUUGAUCUCCACCCUUCUGAAGCUGCCUUAAAGGUCCUCCACUGCACCACAAAAAGCUUCUACAGAAAGUUGUUCAUUCAUCUGUGCACGUGCCUCUUUGUCCCACUCCUUUUUUCUUUAUUCUCUUCCUUCUCUUUCCGAAAUUGGAUUUUUCUCCUUUUUUUUUUCUCUUCCCUUAUGCUCUCUUCCUGAAGUUCAAUCCUCUCCCCUUUUCUUGUUUGCAAGCUGCAUAUUUAUAUACAUACAUUUGUAAUAUUAUUGUGAUCUUGCCUUAAUGGCGAAUUAAUU